AUGUGCGGUUGGAUGGACAUCUUCUGCAUCAUACAGGAUCAGGACUGCAAUGCCUGGAGUUUCCCCCGUCUGUUAGCACAACAUUCAUCCAUUUAAAAACACCACGACGCGCUUUACAUCACUGCCUCACCAAUAAUAAACUGAACAUCAAUACAAGAGUUCUUGGUCACCACGUAUCUUAGUUGCCUUGUGCUUAGUUUGAUUUAUUCAAAAGUCAAAGGUUUAUGGUAGCAUUUGCGCAACAAUUAACUUUACUUUUCUAAACAGCUAUACCAUUUGAUAAUACGUGAAUAAGCACACUUACAUUUAACCCUUCCUUUUGUUUCUGAAGUCUAGCAGAAACUAUAUUGAGCAGAUCACAGCCCAGAUAUUUAGAACACUAGCAAUAUCAAUAGUAAUUUAGAUAGUAAAAUGAUACUUAGCCACAUUCAGCUGCUGGGUUGUUGAAGAAAUAAAAAGCCGUAGUAGGUAAAUGCCGUCGUCUCAAUCUUUUACGCGACCCGAUAAAUGUAUGCGCAGAAAAUCGAGAGUUGAUUGUAGAGCACAGUUAUCAAAGUAGUUUGCGGUAUUUUGUGGGAUAAUUAAAAAUAUAUAUAUUUUAAGAGUGCCCUUCCUAAUUUCUAGUGCAUAAGGAUUUACCAAUAAUCGCAGAUGGUUACCUAUAGAAAUGGGGCAUUGCCAGAUUACCUUAAUUGGGUACGCUCAUUAGUUAUGAGGUUUACGCAAAUGCCAAUAUUGAUCGUACUGCCAGACGCCAUAAUAAGGUGUGGAUGACGUAACGCAAUUGCCAAUCCUGUUCGUACUGCCAGUUAUCCUCCACCACACAGUACUGCAGCAUUAGAGCUUCACAGACUGCACUAAACUAACUACCAACCUCUACAGAAACCCCAAGCCCCGUCAUACUGGAAUCGUAACGUUCCAGUACGAACCAUCCCUAAGUAACGUAACCAGCACCUCACCUUGAGCUGAACGACGAUGAAGAUCUUGUGGUCGUCUCAUUGCAAAAUACAGCCAACAGACUUACCUUGAGGCGAUCUGGUAGUUUGUUGCUGUUGGUUUAUGUACAAAACAUUUUGACUAAACAUUUCAGUUACCCCAUUUAACUAAUUAUCUACCAAUUAACAAUGCUUGCCAGCGUACAAAAAAAAGCUAACCAAUCUGUCUUUUGGCUACUUCCUCGCUUCACAUCGCAUGAGCAUUGUCAUAUUGAUCCGGGUGUGGUCUGAGUGGCCAGAGAUGCAUGUUAGGAUACUGUGCUGUCUGAAGUCUACCGUUCUGUAGACGUGCCCCCCUCCGGAGAAACAGUGUUCAAAAGGGCUGUUGCAUCAGUUACAUGACCUGGAACAUCCGUCAAGACUGUGACAGGGACUCCCCAAGGAGAGACGCCAUGGGUAGGAUGUGAGGGCUCUUUCUCAGCGACUAGAAUACACCACAGCGCCUACGGGAGGGAACCAUUGCACACAUUUCAAUAUUCCUCUUCAUAGAUCUUGAAGCCCCAGCAAGGAUUUAUUUUCCUCCUCAGCUGAAGAAGAGCUUGGUUACAGCAUGAAGAGAACCCUAGUUGGGAUGUUACCGAGAUGGUUUCUGAUUCAAAGGGGGACCCAACUCCCAGGUCCAGCUAGCAUCAACAAAUGCAUUGCAAUUCAGCCCAAGAAAAAAUUGCAUCCCAGCACAGGAGUCCAGAAGAUACAAUCCACAGGGCCUGCCAGCCAACUAUCAUGUCGGGGCUAGAAAGGGCAGCCACGUCGCAGGCUUUCAAGCUUGAAGGACCAUUUCCUAAAAUGUUGUGAUGUAUAAUAAGUGCGUAUCCCCAUGUCAUCACGCUCACACAUGGUAUGCCUCGUCACCCUGAUCACGCCCGGAUGAAGAACCCCAGGCCAGGUAGAACCCCGACCACAUGAACAACCGAACCAGGCAGAACCCUGACCACAUGAACCAGGCCAGGCAGAACCCUGACCACAUGAACCAGGCCAGGUAGAACCCUGACCACAUGAACCAGGCCAGGUAGAACCCUGACCGCAUGAACAACCAGGCCAGGUAGAACCCUGACCGCAUGAACAACCAGGCCAGGUAGAACCCUGACCGCAUGAACAACCAGGCCAGGUAAAACCCUGACCGCAUGAACAACCAGGCAAGGUAGAACCCUCGCCAUGCCCACCUGAAGAGCCACAGGCAGUCCAUUUGUUUUCCUUCAGACUCAAACUCUUCCGCUUUGAUGAGCCUGAGAACAAGGACGGGAUUUGAUGGAAGUGGUGAGAAGGUAAUCUGAUUAGGUCACCCUGAUUAGGUGGGAUGGUAGGUAUCGGACAUCCCAGUAGCUGGUAGGUAUCGGACAUCCCAGUAGUUGGUAGGUUUCAGACAUCCCAGUAGUUGGUAGGUUUCAGACAUCCCAGUAGUUGGUAGGUUUCAGACAUCCCAGUAGUUGGUAGGUUUCAGACGUCCCAGUAGUUGGUAGGUUUCAGACGUCCCAGUAGUUGGUAGGUUUCAGACGUCCCAGUAGUUGGUAGGUUUCAGACGUCCCAGUAGUUGGUAGGUAUCGGACGUCCCAGUAGUUGGUAGGUAGGUCAUGAACGGACCAGACCUUGAACAGAGCAGGGAUUGGUUGGUAGGUCUUUACAGUAGGAUUCUCCUCAUCCCAUAUGAACAGCAGGCCGAUGAGCCCUCUGCUGGCUCAGAUGCAAGCCUUUCUCAGGCUGAACUGCAGAGUAAUGGAGGAGUCCAGCUGGUCCUGGAAGUUCGGUCCUCUUAAAUCAGAACCUAUCGCGGUAAGAUCCCACCAAGAACCCUUUUCGUGACUGCAGCUGUGCUCUACUCCAGCUGCGGAGGUAGAGAAACCGUAGCUACGGCUUCAAGAUGUAUGGUGGGCAACGUUGAAAUGUGCUCCAUGGUUCUCUAGCGAAGGACUGAGGUGGUGUUCUAGUCGUUGAGGAAGAGCCCUCACCUCUCAUCCCCGGGCGUUUCUCCUUUAGGUGAGAGCCUGUCACCAUCUUGAAUGACAUCCCAGUUCAUGUAAAUGACUUCACAACCACCUCUUAGACACAUGCCUUCACCUGAAGGGGCAAGUCUACAGAGCUGGAGGCUUCAGACAGCGCAGAACCCUAGCAUGCAUCUCUGAUCACUCAAUCUGAACCCUCAUCAGUACGGUAACUCAUGUGACGUGAUGCAAAGUUCAGGAAGUAGUGGCGAAGCAUGUCGAAAGAAAAUCUAGACAAAACCUUGGAGUAUGUUUUGGCUGCACUCUGAGAAACCCUAUGUUACUAUUCUCACAAUUCACUUGGAACCUAUACUACACCCCUUCUAACACAGCAUUGACACAUGUUCAAACUAAACAGGUAAUUAGCCCACGUACCAACAAAAAACAUUAUUUAAAUCAUUCACCUUUCCACCUCAGCCAACGAGGAGGCCAAAACAAUGCCCCAGCAUAAAGGGGAAAUAUAAGGACUUACAGUUCGCAGUUUCUUCUUCAUGGUUCAGUUUUGAUACUCACAGGAUCACUUUCUCCUCUUUGACCUGUGAAGUAACGGAACGAGCAGAUUCGUUUUAGUGCUCAAACCACACCACUGAGGCAAAG
ensembl:lncRNA